UACGUAGGCAGCAAGCGUUGUUCGGAAUACUGGGCGUAAAGCGUGCGCAGGCGGUUCGUUGUGUCGGCGGUGAAAGCCCCGGGCUUAACCUGGGAAUGGCCGUUGAAACUGGCGAACUGGAGUGUGGCAGGAGGGGGGGUGGAAUUCCUGGUGUAGCGGUGAAAUGCGUAGAUAUCAGGAGGAACACCUGUGGCGAAAGCGGCUCACUGGACCAUAACUGACGCUGAUGCACGAAAGCUAGGGGAGCAAACAGG
rnacentral:rRNA from 1 species